rfam:Heligmosomoides polygyrus genome assembly, scaffold: HPBE_scaffold0004712
GCACCGGUGGUGUAAAGGCGUAGAGCAUUCCCGCCCGGUCAGAGGGAGGUGCGGGUUCGAGUCCCGCCUGGCGCU